rnacentral:tRNA from 1 species
GGAUUAUAGUUAACUAUAACACUUGAAUUGCAAUCAAGAAGUACUGAAACCAGUUAAUCUUAG